CCGGCACUCCGGAGAUAGCCAUCGUGACAUAUGCUCACUCGUGCGGGAUUGGGCGCCGAAAUGGGAUACCGUGGGGGAGGCUCAUUCCUAGAGUGGGGAUGUUGACUACCACGGGGCCAUUAGGCACGGCGCAAGCCGGACUACCCACGGGUAGGUCCUACAGGAUUGAAUCAUUGAUGACUUCGUAUACCGACUGGACAUUGACUAGAAUAGUAAACAAGACAUUUUACUAUUUAGCUUGUGGACAUCAUGCUAGUGAUACUUUGGUACAUUCAUGUUAGAAUAGUCUUUUAUUACUUAUGCAAAUUCAUGCUAAGUAGAGAUAUCAUGUUGUAGUAAGUUUACAUGUUUACUUACAUAUCGAUU
rnacentral:lncRNA from 1 species